UACGUAGGCAGCAAGCGUUGUUCGGAGUUACUGGGCGUAAAGAGUGCGUAGGUGGUGCCCUAAGUUUGCUGUGAAAUCUCCCGGCUUAACCGGGAGGGUGCGGUGAAUACUGAGGGACUAGAGUACGGGAGAGGAAAGUGGAAUUCCUGGUGUAGCGGUGAAAUGCGUAGAUAUCAGGAGGAACACCGGUGGUGUAGACGGCUUUCUGGACCGUAACUGACGCUGAGACACGAAAGCGUGGGUAGCAAACAGG
rnacentral:rRNA from 1 species